UACGUAGGGUCCGAGCGUUGUCCGGAAUUAUUGGGCGUAAAGGGCUCGUAGGCGGUUCGUCGCGUCGAAUGUGAAAACCCGGGGCUCAACCCCGGGCCUGCAUUCGAUACGGGCAGACUAGAGUUCGGUAGGGGAGUCUGGAAUUCCUGGUGUAGCGGUGAAAUGCGCAGAUAUCAGGAGGAACACCGAUGGCGAAGGCAGGUCUCUGGGCCAUAACUGACGCUGAGACGCGAAAGCGUGGGGAGCAAACAGG
rnacentral:rRNA from 1 species